rnacentral:lncRNA from 1 species
GUUUCUAUUCCUGGUCUGUAUUUAUGACUGACCCCCUUCUCUGCUCUGCCAAACCCACAGUUUCCAUCAUGAGGGUGCACUGCCUACCAGGUGUGUGUGUGUGUGUGUGUGUGUGUGUAGAGGGGCAGGAGGAGGGGGGUUACUGGCAUAAGAGAAGCAGCUGCAAACAGCUGGCAUUAUACCCACAAAAGCAAAUCACUGUCCGUACCCCCUUACGGUGGGUAGGUUAUAAUUUAAUAACACAUAUCGCCAUAAUAAACUGCACACAGUAGCCCCCACCAGUACUAUUACCUGGAUUUCAGGAAGUCCACCCCAAAGAGCAAGAAUGAUUGCUUUUAUUAUAUCAAGCCAUGAUCUAUACCAUAAGCACUGUUUAUAUAUGGUGCUGUACAGACUAUAUGUUGUUCCUAGCCUGCAGAGCUUGCACUUUAAUGGCUGGUACUCAUAUGUGCUCAGGUAGGGUCCUGUGUAAAAUGCAUUAAUGGGGCAAAGGCAUACAUCUCUGUCAUUCAGAAGAAACAUUACAUCUGUUGCUAUGGUAAUUGCUCCACUUUUAUAUCACGCUUUAAAUAAUUGCCCCCAUAGUGUAAUUUGUCUAAGACGAUUGCAAAUGGAAACUAGAAUUAGUCCAUCCGGUGUGGUUAGCUGCUGAAAUAUUUUCAGUCUGUUUAAUAGUAUCCUGGUACAUACGUCCCUAGCGUAUAGUCUGUAAGGGAAAGCACAGUUAGAAUAUCUACGUUUUAUUCUACAUACACAGAGAAUGUCACAAACUAUCACCUGCUCUGGGGGAGUUUUGGUGGUCCCACGGCUCAUCAUGGUGUCUGUGAAUUGGGUACAUUGAAAAAUUUGAUUUUAACCUCUUAAAUACCAACCAAGUUCUUUGCUGUCCUCAAUAAUAUUUUGUUUAAAUUGGCAGUCUAAGCACCAUUACAAUUUUGCAUCUUUGCAAAGAUUAAGGCGCAAAGAGAACCCUGCAGCCAUUUGGACUGCGUAGAAUGGCUUUUAACUCGCACGUAGACUGCUUAGAGUGACUUUUAAUUCACAUGACGUUCCCCGCUUUAGUUACGUCUAUAAGAAACAUAUCAGCAUGGCUUAAACUAGAACAGUUGUUAGGGAACACUAUAGCGUGUUAGGAAUAAAAAUUUGUAAAGUUAUAGUGAUUAUGUCUAUAGUUGUAUGUAGGUGUGUCGUCGUCCCCCUUUGUAAUAAAAAAUGAUCAGAAUAAAAGUUUUACUUGCCUCUAAAGCUUCCUCCAUGCUCUUCACCUCUCCGCCUUCUGUGACAUCAUUGAGGAGGUGCGGCCUUUGCCCAGAUGGUCCAAUCCAUUGCUCCUAGUAGAAGAGCAGUGGGGACCUAAAGCACAUGUCCAGCAAGUGCAACUAAGUUUUCCCAUUGCAAAGCAUUUUAUUUAGUACUUACAUAUGCUUUUUAUAUGGACCUCGCGUUACAAAGUUUUACUUAGUCAGUGCCGUGGAAGUGCCUCUGGUGGCUGUCAGUAUUACAGCCACUAGAGGUGGGUUCAACCCUGUAACCACUGCACCACUGCACCCAGUCCACCCAUUGAGAUGAAGUGGUCUAGGUGACUAUAGUGUCCCUUUAUGAAAUCAGAUCUCUUUUAUAUCAAGGGAUUAGAUCUUGGUUGAUAUUCUAUUCAAGAUAUGCUUGUUUUAAGUUGGCGGUCAGAUUUCAUAUAUCUAGAUAAAUGUAAGUUUGUUUAAAAGUGAAAAUCAUGUGCUUUAAACAAUGUAACCCAAAAUAACUGUUUUCCAAAAAUACCUAACCACAGUGUCACCAUCUGCCGGCAGGGCAGCAUUUUAUGAGCAAGAGUUGACAAAAUUAUUACAAUUUCAGGCCAAAAAAAAAAAAUAGAUUUGGAGAAUUUUUAAAAAAAAAUUGGCUUUUUUUUACAGUCACAAAAAUAACUUUAAUGCAUUGCUGAUUUAUACAAAACUGAUCCUUAUCUGCACAAUGUGAUUUCUCAUUUUAGCACCAAAUUCACCUGCACCUAAAGGCUGGACCUUGGACCUGUGAAACCGCAAACGCUGCCUGAGUCUUUGACAGAGCCGUACUAACAGCUGUGAAAAUGGCCCUAUUGACGCUGGACUUGAGGACUAGCAAAGCAUCAUGGGAAAGGGAAAUAAAAUAGCUUUAUGUCACCAUAGUCAUUAAAUAUAAAAUAUUAGAAUAUAUAGUAUUAGAAUCAUAUUGGAUUGGUACUGGAUAUGUUUUGUAACCCGCCCGAGAGCUACUGAUAUAGGAUCUUAAAUUUGCGUGGAGUUAGGCAGUGGCAAAUGGACUAGACAUAGCUGGAAAUAUAGGAGAAUUUAUCAAAUUCGCCAAUUUUCCAGAUCGGAUAUUUUGGCCAUUAAUUUACAAUAGACUUUUUAGUUUUGUUCAGUUCUAUAUGUAAUUCUCCUUUGCCUUUUAACCCAUUCAUGACCAAUGAUGGCGUAACGUCCCCCUGAAUCAAUGACUCUAUAGGUGGCAUUGCCAUUUGGAUGCCAUUAUUAUCUGCACCCCUUAUCUUUAACCCUCUAAGUGCCACACUGUGCAGGUCUUGUUAUCGUUCAGCAUUUGUGGGACCCGUCACUCACUUUUUUUUAUUGACAAACAAAGGAUUAUUGUGCACCAUAGGUGGAUCAAAAGUAAAUCUUGUACUCUGGGCAGGUGCCUGUUCCCUAAUGUGUGCCCCAAAUCAGCAAAUUCUAAGGAGCGCCCACUUGAUCCAGCCUAGAAUUAGUUGUUUUCGUUUUGAGCACCCAGCUGCACUGAUACCAUAUAUAAUUUAUCAGCUGCGGGAUAAAUAGAUUUGACAAAGGUGCGCUCGAGAGACAAGAGUAAUAAAUGUGCGCAG